AUUUACCCUAGAGGUGUUGAAGGUAUGGCUGUUGUGUCACUUGUCAGUAGGUAUCAGAGAGGUGACAGGCUGUGUCUACUCUCAAUGCUUUGACCUGUGAACAUCUGAAUUAUUAGUAGGCUAAUACU